rnacentral:rRNA from 1 species
UACAGAGGCCUCGAGCGUUAGGCGGAAUCACUGGGCUUAAAGCGUGUGUAGGUGGAUGCCUAAGUACCUUGUGAAAUCCCACAGCUUAACUGUGGAAUUGCUUGGUAUACUGGGUGUCUUGAGCCACUCAGGGGCUACCGGAACAAGCGGUGGAGCGGUGAAAUGCGUAGAUAUCGCUUGGAACACCAAUGGUGAAAACAGGUAGCUGGGGGUGUGCUGACACUGAGACACGAAAGCCAGGGGAGCAAACGGG